UACGUAGGGGGCAAGCGUUGUCCGGAAUCAUUGGGCGUAAAGCGCGUGUAGGCGGCUUGGUAAGUCCGCUCUGAAAGCCCGGGGCUCAACCCCGGGAGGCGGGUGGAUACUGUCAAGCUCGAGUCCGGAAGAGGAGAGUGGAAUUCCUGGUGUAGCGGUGAAAUGCGCAGAUAUCAGGAAGAACACCCGUGGCGAAGGCGGCUCUCUGGGACGGUACUGACGCUGAGACGCGAAAGCGUGGGGAGCGAACAGG
rnacentral:rRNA from 1 species